CGGCGGACGGGUGAGUAAUGCUUAGGAAUCUGCCUAUUAGUGGGGGACAACAUUCCGAAAGGAAUGCUAAUACCGCAUACGCCCUACGGGGGAAAGCAGGGGAUCUUCGGACCUUGCGCUAAUAGAUGAGCCUAAGUCGGAUUAGCUAGUUGGUGGGGUAAAGGCCUACCAAGGCGACGAUCUGUAGCGGGUCUGAGAGGAUGAUCCGCCACACUGGGACUGAGACACGGCCCAGACUCCUACGGGAGGCAGCAGUGGGGAAUAUUGGACAAUGGGGGGAACCCUGAUCCAGCCAUGCCGCGUGUGUGAAGAAGGCCUUUUGGUUGUAAAGCACUUUAAGCGAGGAGGAGGCUACCGAGACUAAUACUCUUGGAUAGUGGACGUUACUCGCAGAAUAAGCACCGGCUAACUCUGUGCCAGCAGCCGCGGUAAUACAGAGGGUGCGAGCGUUAAUCGGAUUUACUGGGCGUAAAGCGUGCGUAGGCGGCUGAUUAAGUCGGAUGUGAAAUCCCUGAGCUUAACUUAGGAAUUGCAUUCGAUACUGGUCAGCUAGAGUAUGGGAGAGGAUGGUAGAAUUCCAGGUGUAGCGGUGAAAUGCGUAGAGAUCUGGAGGAAUACCGAUGGCGAAGGCAGCCAUCUGGCCUAAUACUGACGCUGAGGUACGAAAGCAUGGGGAGCAAACAGGAUUAGAUACCCUGGUAGUCCAUGCCGUAAACGAUGUCUACUAGCCGUUGGGGCCUUUGAGGCUUUAGUGGCGCAGCUAACGCGAUAAGUAAACCGCCUGGGGAGUACGGUCACAAGACUAAAACUCAAAUGAAUUGACGGGGGCCCGCNCAAGCGGUGGAGCAUGUGGUUUAAUUCGAUGCAACCGCGAAAAACCUUACCUGGUC
rnacentral:rRNA from 1 species